CAGGAGGAACACCGAUGGCGAAGGCAGGUCUCUGGGCAUUAACUGACGCUGAGGAGCGAAAGCAUGGGGAGCGAACAGGAUUAGAUACCCUGGUAGUCCAUGCCGUAAACGUUGGGCACUAGGUGUGGGGGACAUUCCACGUUUUCCGCGCCGUAGCUAACGCAUUAAGUGCCCCGCCUGGGGAGUACGGCCGCAAGGCUAAAACUCAAAGGAAUUGACGGGGGCCCGCACAAGCGGCGGAGCAUGCGGAUUAAUUCGAUGCAACGCGAAGAACCUUACCAAGGCUUGACAUGGGCCGGACCGGGCUGGAAACAGUCCUUCCCCUUUGGGGCCGGUUCACAGGUGGUGCAUGGUUGUCGUCAGCUCGUGUCGUGAGAUGUUGGGUUAAGUCCCGCAACGAGCGCAACCCUCGUUCCAUGUUGCCAGCGCGUAAUGGCGGGGACUCAUGGGAGACUGCCGGGGUCAACUCGGAGGAAGGUGGGGACGACGUCAAAUCAUCAUGCCCCUUAUGUCUUGGGCUUCACGCAUGCUACAAUGGCCGGUACAAAGGGUUGCGAUACUGUGAGGUGGAGCUAAUCCCAAAAAGCCGGUCUCAGUUCGGAUUGGGGUCUGCAACUCGACCCCAUGAAGUCGGAGUCGCUAGUAAUCGCAGAUCAGCAACGCUGCGGUGAAUACGUUCCCGGGCCUUGUACACACCGCCCGUCAAGUCACGAAAGUUGGUAACACCCGAAGCCGGUGGCCUAACCCCUUGUGGGAGGGAGCUGUCGAAGGUGGGACUGGUGUGUUGUGUCUAAGUCGUA
rnacentral:rRNA from 1 species